rnacentral:tRNA from 1 species
UGCGGGCGUGGCGGAAUGGCAGACGCGCAAGACUAAGGAUCUUGUGAUCGCUUUUAGAUCGUGGAAGUUCGAGUCUUCUCGCCCGCAUACA